GCCCUUGUUGAUUAAUGGUAUAUCACCCACCAGCCGUGAGUAAGUUCAAAGCCUAAGGAUACUUAGUGGGAAACGGGGGUUCGAUUCCUCCCGAGCGUA